UACGUAGGAUGCAAGCGUUGUCCGGAAUUAUUGGGCGUAAAGCGCACGUAGGCGGUUUCUUAAGAUUGGUCUUAAAGACCGGGGCUCAACCCCGGGAAUGGAUCGAUAACUGGGAGACUGGAGGACGUCAGAGGAAAGUGGAAUUCCGAGUGUAGCGGUGAAAUGCGUAGAUAUUCGGAGGAACACCAGUGGCGAAAGCGACUUUCUGGGACGUUCCUGACGCUGAGGUUCGAAAGCUCGGGGAGCAAACAGG
rnacentral:rRNA from 1 species